GAUGAAGAACGCAGCGAAAUGCGACAAGUAAUGUGAAUUGCAGAAUUCAGUGAAUCAUCGAAUCUUUGAACGCAUCUUGCGCUCCUUGGUAUUCUGAGGAGCAUGCCUGUUUGAGUGUCAUUAAAUUCUCAACCGCACUGACUUUGAAUUGGUGUGGCUUGGAUUUGGGGGGAAAAUUGUUGUGGGCUUUUUUGUAUAGUCUGCUCCCCUGAAAUUGAUUAGCGGUACCUUUGUGGAACUGUCUACAGGUGUGAUAAUUAUCUACAUCCUAGACAUCUGCUGGAAUGCUGCUUUCUAAACCUUACUUGUAUUGACAAUCUUGACCUCAAAUCAGGUAGGACUACCCGCUGAACUUAAGCAUAUCAAUAAGCGGAGGA
rnacentral:misc_RNA from 1 species